CCUACGGGUGGCAGCAGUGGGGAAUAUUGGACAAUGGGGGCAACCCUGAUCCAGCCAUGCCGCGUGUGUGAAGAAGGCCCUCGGGUUGUAAAGCACUUUCAGUGAGGAAGAACGCCUGGUGGUUAAUACCCAUCAGGAAAGACAUCACUCACAGAAGAAGCACCGGCUAACUCCGUGCCAGCAGCCGCGGUAAUACGGAGGGUGCGAGCGUUAAUCGGAAUUACUGGGCGUAAAGCGCGCGUAGGUGGCUGGAUAAGCCGGUUGUGAAAGCCCCGGGCGCAACCUGGGAACGGCAUCCGGAACUGUCAAGCUAGAGUGCAGGAGAGGAAGGUAGAAUUCCCGGUGUAGCGGUGAAAUGCGUAGAGAUCGGGAGGAAUACCAGUGGCGAAGGCGGCCUUCUGGACUGACACUGACACUGAGGUGCGAAAGCGUGGGUAGCAAACAGGAUUAGAUACCCUGGUAGUC
rnacentral:rRNA from 1 species